rnacentral:rRNA from 2 species
CACCGCGGUUAAACGGGAGACUCAAGUUGAAAGACAGCGGCGUAAAGCGUGGUUAAGACACUUGCUAAAUAGGGCCGAAUGACCUCAAAACAGUCAAAUCUAUUCGAGACCACGAAGCACAUCUACGAAGGUGGCCCUAAUGCCUCUGACCCCACGAAAGCCAUAACA